rnacentral:rRNA from 1 species
UACGUAGGGAGCGAGCGUUGUCCGGAAUUACUGGGCGUAAAGGGCGCGUAGGCGGUUUGUUAAGUCAGGCGUGAAAGCCCUGGGCUCAACCUGGGAGGUGCGCUUGAUACUGGCAAGCUUGAGUGCAGGAGAGGAUGGUGGAAUUCCCAGUGUAGAGGUGAAAUUCGUAGAUAUUGGGAAGAACACCGGUGGCGAAGGCGGCCAUCUGGACUGCAACUGACGCUGAGGCGCGAAAGCGUGGGGAGCAAACAGGAUUAGAUACCCUGGUAGUCCACGCUGUAAACGAUGAGUGCUGGACGUUGGCGGGCUUGCCUGCCGGUGUCGUAGCUAACGCGAUGAGCACUCCGCCUGGGGAGUACGGCCGCAAGGUUAAA